UACGUAGGGUGCAAGCGUUGUCCGGAAUUAUUGGGCGUAAAGAGCUCGUAGGCGGUUUGUCGCGUCUGCUGUGAAAACUCAGGGCUUAACCCUGAGCCUGCAGUGGGUACGGGCAGACUAGAGUGUGGUAGGGGAGAUCGGAAUUCCUGGUGUAGCGGUGGAAUGCGCAGAUAUCAGGAGGAACACCAAUGGCGAAGGCAGCUCGCUGGGACGGUACUGACGCUGAGACGCGAAAGCGUGGGGAGCAAACAGG
rnacentral:rRNA from 1 species